GGCACCCUGCUGUGUGCGUGAUGCACGACACCCGUUUUGAGCCAACACCCGACGAUUGGGAGACAAGCUCUGGAGGGGAUGCGGUAGCCCGCAAGGGGGCAAGGCAGUAACCAACAGGUAGUCUCCCACCCUGCGAGAGCAGGUUCAAAACUAGGUCGCACACGGCACAGCGGGGGCCC
rnacentral:other from 1 species